CAGUCGCCGCGGGAAUACGAAGGGUGCAAGCGUUACUCGAAAUUACUGGGCGUAAAGCGUGCGUAGGUGGUGGUUUAAGUCCGUUGUGAAAGCCCUGGGCUCAGCCUGGGAAUUGCAGUGGAUACUGGGUCACUAGAGUGUGGUAGAGGAUAGUGGAAUUUCCGGUGUAGCAGUGAAAUGCGUAGAGAUCGGAAGGAACAUCUGUGGCGAAGGCGACUAUCUGGGCCAACACUGACACUGAGGCACGAAAGCGUGGGGAGCAAACAGGAUUAGAUACCCCCGUAGUCCCUGUCUCUUAUAA
rnacentral:rRNA from 1 species